rnacentral:rRNA from 1 species
ACACGACUACAUUAGAUACCCGUGUAGUCCCAGCCGUAAACUAUGCUCGCUAGGUGUCAGGGACGGUGCGACCGUUUCUGGUGCCGCAGGGAAGCCGUGAAGCGAGCCACCUGGGAAGUACGGUCGCAAGGCUGAAACUUAAAGGAAUUGGCGGGGGAGCACAACAACGGGUGGAGCUUGCGGUUUAAUUGGAUUCAACGCCGGAAAUCUUACCGGGACCGACAGCAACAUGAAGGCCAAGCUGAAGACUUUGCCGGAUUAGCUG